GCUUCCGGCGGAGCCUGCGGUGCGUUAACGUCGACAAGUUCUUCGCCACGAACGGGGGAAGCCGGUGAGAAUCCGGCGCUGGCCCGCAACCGUGAGCGGCCCCGGGUGGGACCGCGAGCCGGAUCGCCCGUCGUGGUCCGAUCGAUGCG
rfam:Streptomyces sp. AA4 genomic scaffold supercont1.1, whole genome shotgun sequence.